rnacentral:rRNA from 1 species
UACGGAGGGUGCGAGCGUUGUCCGGAAUCACUGGGCGUAAAGGGCGCGUAGGCGGCAGGCCAAGCGUGCGGUGAAAGUCCGGGGCUCAACCCCGGAUCUGCCGUGCGGACUGGUGUGCUAGAGCACUGUAGAGGCGAGUGGAAUUCCGGGUGUAGCGGUGGAAUGCGUAGAGAUCCGGAAGAACACCGGUGGCGAAGGCGGCUCGCUGGGCAGUGGCUGACGCUGAGGCGCGACAGCGUGGGGAGCAAACAGG